GACGAACGCUGGCGGCGUGCUUAACACAUGCAAGUCGAGCGGUAAGGCCUUUCGGGGUACACGAGCGGCGAACGGGUGAGUAACACGUGGGUGAUCUGCCCUGCACUUCGGGAUAAGCCUGGGAAACUGGGUCUAAUACCGGAUAUGACCUCCUAUCGCAUGGUGGGUGGUGGAAAGAUUUAUCGGUGCAGGAUGGGCCCGCGGCCUAUCAGCUUGUUGGUGGGGUAAUGGCCUACCAAGGCGACGACGGGUAGCCGACCUGAGAGGGUGACCGGCCACACUGGGACUGAGACACGGCCCAGACUCCUACGGGAGGCAGCAGUGGGGAAUAUUGCACAAUGGGCGAAAGCCUGAUGCAGCGACGCCGCGUGAGGGAUGACGGCCUUCGGGUUGUAAACCUCUUUCAGCAGGGACGAAGCGCAAGUGACGGUACCUGCAGAAGAAGCACCGGCUAACUACGUGCCAGCAGCCGCGGUAAUACGUAGGGUGCGAGCGUUGUCCGGAAUUACUGGGCGUAAAGAGUUCGUAGGCGGUUUGUCGCGUCGUUUGUGAAAACCAGCAGCUCAACUGCUGGCUUGCAGGCGAUACGGGCAGACUUGAGUACUGCAGGGGAGACUGGAAUUCCUGGUGUAGCGGUGAAAUGCGCAGAUAUCAGGAGGAACACCGGUGGCGAAGGCGGGUCUCUGGGCAGUAACUGACGCUGAGGAACGAAAGCGUGGGUAGCGAACAGGAUUAGAUACCCUGGUAGUCCACGCCGUAACGGUGGGCGCUAGGUGUGGGUUCCUUCCACGGAAUCCGUGCCGUAGCUACGCAUUAAGCGCCCCGCCUGGGGAGUACGGCCGCAAGGCUAAAACUCAAAGGAAUUGACGGGGGCCGCACAAGCGGCGGAGCAUGUGGAUUAAUUCGAUGCACGCGAAGAACCUUUACCUGGGUUUGACAUAUACCGGGAAAGCUGCAGAGAUGUGGCCCCCUUGUG
rnacentral:rRNA from 1 species